GUGCCAGCAGCCGCGGUAAUACGGAGGAUCCAAGCGUUAUCCGGAAUCAUUGGGUUUAAAGGGUCCGUAGGCGGUUUUGUAAGUCAGUGGUGAAAUCCGGCAGCUCAACUGUCGCACUGCCAUUGAUACUGCAGGACUUGAAUUAUUGUGAAGUAACUAGAAUAUGUAGUGUAGCGGUGAAAUGCUUAGAUAUUACAUGGAAUACCCAUUGCGAAGGCAGGUUACUAACAAUAUAUUGACGCUGAUGGACGAAAGCGUGGGGAGCGAACAGGAUUAGAUACCCCCGUAGUCC
rnacentral:rRNA from 1 species